CCCUUAGAUGUUCUGGGCCGCACGCGUGCUACACUGGUACAAUCACUAAGUUUCUGAGUAGUUAUGCUUGGGCAAUCUUGAAAACUGUACCGUGACGGGGCUUGACUGUUGAAAUUUUCUGUCACUAACGAGGAAUUCCUAGUAAAUGUGGGUCAUGAACUCACGUUGAUUACGUCCCUGCCCUUUGUACACACCGCCCGUCGCUCCUACCGAUUGAAUGUUCCGGUGAGCUCUUCGGACUGCGCGGUCUGCAGUUUCUGCGUUCCGUGCGGAAAGUUGCGCAAACCUUAACAUUUAGAGGAAGGAGAAGUCGUAACA
rnacentral:rRNA from 1 species